rnacentral:tRNA from 1 species
CGUAAUGUAGCUUAACAAAAGCAUCUCGCUUACACCGAGAAAAUGUCCGUGAGAACCAGACCAUUCCGA